GCGAGCAGCUUGGCUCCGCGCAGGCAGCCAGGCGGCGCUCCUGCCGGCCCCAGGCGCGCCGCUAGCCCGGCCCAGCGCCCAGCCCGGCGGGCGGCGGGCGGCGGCGGGCGAACCGGCGCAGGAGCAGGAGGAGGGGGAGCCGCACCGCCUGGGAGGGAAGCCGGGGCGAGGCGAGGAGGUGGCGGGAGGAGGAGACAGCGGGGAAAGGUGUCAGAUAAAGGAGGGCUCUCCUCCGGUGUGGAGGCAUCAUGGCCGCUAAAUCAGACGGGAGGCUGAAAAUGAAGAAAAGCAGCGACGUGGCGUUCACCCCGCUGCAGAACUCGGACCACUCGGGCUCGGUGCAGGGAUUGGCUCCAGGCUUGCCGUCGGGGUCGGUAGCCGAGGACGAGGAGGCGGCCGGGGGCGGCUGCUGCCCGGACGGCGGCGGCUGCUCGCGCUGCUGCUGCUGCUGCGCCGGGAGCGGCGGCUCCGGGGGCUCGGGCGGCUCCGGCGGCUCCGGCGGCGUCGCCGGCCCGGGCGGCGGCGGGGCGGGCUCGGCGGCGCUGUGCCUGCGCCUGGGCAGGGAACAGCGGCGCUACUCACUGUGGGACUGCCUCUGGAUCCUGGCCGCCGUGGCCGUGUACUUCGCGGAUGUGGGAACAGACGUUUGGCUCGCCGUGGACUACUACCUGCGCGGCCAGCGCUGGUGGUUCGGGCUCACGCUCUUCUUCGUGGUGCUCGGCUCGCUGUCGGUGCAAGUGUUCAGCUUCCGCUGGUUUGUGCACGAUUUCAGCACCGAGGACAGCGCCACGGCCGCUGCUGCCUCCAGCUGCCCGCAGCCUGGAGCCGAUUGCAAGACGGUGGUCGGCGGUGGGUCUGCAGUCGGGGAAGGCGAGGCUCGUCCUUCCACGCCGCAAAGGCAAGCAUCUAACGCCAGCAAGAGCAACAUCGCCGCGGCCAGCAGCGGCAGCAACAGCAGCGGGGCUACCCGGGCCAGUGGCAAGCACAGGUCUGCGUCCUGCUCCUUCUGCAUCUGGCUCCUGCAGUCACUCAUCCACAUCUUGCAGCUCGGGCAAAUCUGGAGAUAUUUCCACACAAUAUACUUAGGUAUUCGAAGCCGACAGAGUGGGGAGAAUGACAGAUGGAGGUUUUACUGGAAAAUGGUAUAUGAGUAUGCAGAUGUGAGUAUGCUGCAUUUGCUAGCCACCUUUCUGGAAAGUGCUCCACAGCUGGUCCUGCAGCUCUGCAUUAUCGUACAGACUCAUAGCUUACAGGCCCUCCAAGGUUUCACAGCAGCAGCUUCCCUCGUUUCCCUGGCCUGGGCCUUGGCCUCCUACCAGAAGGCCCUCCGGGACUCUCGAGAUGACAAGAAGCCCAUCAGCUACAUGGCCGUCAUCAUCCAGUUCUGCUGGCACUUCUUCACCAUUGCCGCCAGGGUCAUCACAUUUGCCCUCUUUGCCUCGGUUUUCCAGCUGUACUUUGGGAUCUUCAUCGUCCUUCACUGGUGCAUCAUGACCUUCUGGAUCGUCCACUGUGAGACAGAAUUCUGUAUCACCAAAUGGGAAGAGAUUGUGUUCGACAUGGUGGUGGGGAUUAUCUAUAUCUUCAGCUGGUUCAAUGUCAAGGAAGGCAGGACACGCUGCAGGCUAUUCAUUUACUAUUUUGUGAUCCUUUUGGAAAAUACAGCCUUGAGUGCCCUCUGGUACCUCUACAAGGCUCCCCAGAUUGCAGACGCAUUUGCCAUUCCAGCGCUGUGUGUGGUGUUCAGCAGCUUUUUAACUGGUGUUGUUUUUAUGCUGAUGUAUUAUGCCUUCUUUCAUCCCAAUGGACCCAGAUUCGGGCAGUCACCAAGUUGUGCUUGUGAGGACCCAGCCGCUGCCUUCACUUUGCCCCCAGACGUGGCCACAAGCACCCUACGGUCCAUCUCCAACAACCGCAGUGUUGUCAGCGACCGCGAUCAGAAAUUCGCAGAGCGGGAUGGGUGUGUACCUGUCUUUCAAGUGAGGCCCACUGCCCCAUCCACCCCAUCAUCUCGCCCACCACGGAUUGAAGAAUCAGUCAUUAAAAUUGACUUGUUCAGGAAUAGGUACCCAGCAUGGGAGAGACAUGUUUUGGACCGAAGCCUCCGAAAGGCGAUUUUAGCUUUUGAAUGUUCCCCAUCUCCUCCAAGGCUGCAGUACAAAGACGAUGCCCUUAUUCAGGAGCGGUUGGAGUAUGAAACCACUUUAUAAAGCAAAAGGAGUUGCAGGACCCACAACAUCCAGAUGAAGGGGUGACAGCAGGGCUGUGGCCAUAAUGACACUUCAUCCUAGAGCAGGGCAGUGAGCUGUGAAGUUCCUAGUGGGACCGUCAUCACCGUUAUUAUUUGAUCCUGUCGGCUGGGGGUGGCUGGUCUCCUUCCAAAGCAGCUGCACCCGAGAGUCUCUGACUCCACCUGAAAGAAUGACAUUGGCUUAGUAGGACUCUCCAUUGCUACCAAACUCCUCCUGCACGGUCUUGGGUGCACCCACCAGAAGGUACUAUUAUUAUGGAAAAAUUUUGCCUCCAAUCAUUAGGGUGUCUUGAUGGCGUUAACUGAUCUUUCCAUAAAAAUAGAUUCAGUCAUACACACAUACACACACUAACACACACAAAUUACACCAGUCUUCUGUCAAAAAGGCUUAGGUGACUUUUCUAGAUGCAAAGCUCUGAUUCCCACAGGAAUAUAAAAACAAAGCAAGAGAGAAAUAUCCCUCGAGAAAAAAAAUAGUAUUGCUUAGAAAAGAAUUCAUAAACCAUUUUCUCAUUUGGAAAUCCAUACCAUGUGUGAAAAUCCUAUCCAAUGGACAGCAAACCCAAAUGUUGUUUACACAUGUGUUAGCAUUGAUGGAGUGGUUCAUUUUCUACACAUUUCAGGAUUUGUUUUAUAUUUUAAAUUUUCAGUUGCGAACACCCUUUUUGACAGAAAUCCUAUGCAGCCCAUGUACGCUUUCGACAAGACCAAGGAGCUCAAUAACUUCAUGAUGUAAAUUAAAUAGUGAUCAUGAUUCAGUACUCAAUCGCAAAAAUGUAACAGGUACACAAAGAGGAAGCGGGGAAAAAGGCAAAAUGAGAGUCUGAUUCCCAGGCGUGUGCAGCGCCCAUUGGGACAUAACGGCAGUGCGGCGCGAGCCAGAGGAAUGGGCUGGAACCGGAUCUGUUUCCAGACGCAGAACGAGUGGCUCUGUGUGACCACAGGCAGACGCCGACUCUGGAAGACGCCGUGCCACUCCUUUCUAGUGCCAAACACCAUCCAACCACAGGACUGGCGUGGAAGCCCCAAACAACUGAGAAUGAGUGGCAUGAGCCCCCUAAAAGCAGGCGAGAGAAGGAGCAAUCAAGUUCUCCACUGUGUACAGACGUUUCCUCCCCCCAAUCCAAGGUCAAAGUGAUGUGUCUUUUAGAGGCUUUGGGACACUUUUUAAAACAUCUUGGAGCUUGUCAAGUUUUACUGGAGGUGAUUUGCAGUUAAUUAAUUCAACAGACACUUUAAUCUUGCAAAUUCUUGACUUGUAAUAUUGUAACCAAGCUCCUGCAAGGGAACAUUAAUCAGUUAGUGAAAAAGGAGCACUUCCGUUCAGCCGUAGUACCAUGACGUGCACAGGCCUGAAGAGAAAGACCUCUGUGAAGUGGAGCACUAGUGAAUUCCUGCUACCUGCUUCUCAUUGCUCAUGCUAUGAAUAUUCAUCUGCUUCAUUUGUUUUUUCCAGUAAACGCUGUUUUGAAAAAAAAGAAAAAUAUUCCCGGGGGCUUGCAUAGCUCACUCAGAGAACGGGGUACUGGGUCGUGGAGACUUGCUUUAAAUGGAUUCAAAUCCACAUGUUUGGAAAUGAAAAUAAUGCACUGUCAUCUGUUGAAUAAUUGAUCUGUCUGAGUACAGUUGCUGCUUUUAUUUCGUUUCUUGAGACUACCAUUGUCAGCAUUGUAAUAACCAAUUUAUAAAAAUUGAGUUUUUAUUCAGUUUCAGAGUAAAAUCUGCAUGGGUGCAGCUACUGAAUAAUUUGAUUCCUGCCUUCCUACGUGGUGACAUUAGCAGUUCCAAACCAAGAUCCAUUUCUAUGUGGAAUUGGCUAUCCUGUUGCUUCUCAGGCCCUGCAAAACCUUGGUUACAAGCUCAAAGAUCACGAAUCUGAUAUUCUUUUUUUUUUUUUUUUUU